UACAGAGGUCCCAAGCGUUGUUCGGAUUCACUGGGCGUAAAGGGUGCGUAGGUGGCCGGGUAAGUCUGACGUGAAAUCUCCGAGCCUAACUCGGAAACUGCAUCGGAUACUAUCCGGCUCGAGGGUUGGAGGGGGGACUGGAAUACUUGGUGUAGCAGUGAAAUGCGUAGAUAUCAAGUGGAACACCAGUGGCGAAGGCGAGUCCCUGGACAACUCCUGACACUGAGGCACGAAAGCUAGGGGGAGCAAACAGG
rnacentral:rRNA from 1 species